GAUGAAGAACGUAGUGAAAUGCGAUAAGUAAUGUGAAUUGCAGAAUUCAGUGAAUCAUCGAAUCUUUGAACGCACAUUGCGCCCGCCAGUAUUCUGGCGGGCAUGCCUGUCCGAGCGUCAUUUCAACCAUCAAGCCCCCGGGCUUGUGUUGGGGACCUGCGGCUGCCCGCAGGCCCUGAAAACCAGUGGCGGGCUCGCUGUCACACCGAGCGUAGUAGCAAUCACCUCGCUCAGGGCGUGCUGCGGGUUCCGGCCGCUAAACAGCCUUACAAAACCCAAGGUUGACCUCGGAUCAGGUAGGAAGACCCGCUGAACUUAAGCAUAUCAAUAAGCGGAGGA
rnacentral:misc_RNA from 1 species